AUUAAUAGAUAUAUUCUUAAAAUUUAAAGAAUUUGGCGGUAAUUUAGUCUUGUUAGAGGAACCUGUUUUUAAAUCGAUAAACCACGUAAUAUCUUACUUGUUUUUGUACUCAGCUUAUAUACCAUCAUUAUCAGAUAAUUUUAAGAAAAUAUAAUUGUUGGGAUUGUAAAAUAAAUAUUAAACAAAAUUAGAUCAAGGUGUAGCUAAUAAGCAAGCUAAAAUGGGUUACAAUAAAAUUUAUUUACUACGGAGCUAUAGUGGGAAACCAUGUUGUUAAGGAGGAUUUAAUUGUAAUAAGAGUAUAACAAGCUCUGGGGAUAUAAGCUCUAAAUUAU
rnacentral:rRNA from 1 species